rnacentral:lncRNA from 1 species
AGAAAAGUCAUUCAAGCAAUGAUCUAAAGCAUUCAAAAGACUUGGUAGUUUUUCGUCAACAGAUAUCGCGACUUUCCACUCAAAUAGAGUACUAAAUAGCAAGGCAAAAUAAUCCCUUCCACAAGCACCGACAGCUGCGGAGAAGUCAGCUGAAUUACCGAGAAUUGAGAUCGAUCGAUGGUCUUAAUCCCCAUAAAUAAAUUUUCCAAGAGAUGGGAUUAGAGAAUCGAACAAAGGUCCUCCAGAGUGGAAUGAAGCGUUUUCAUGAAGCCAUUCCGGACGAAGAGUUGCUAAUCGGCCGGAUGGUUGUGAUAGAGACAUGUUUACAUUGCUUUCGUUCCGGAAACCGGAUUCAAUUCCAGGGUCCCACAACUCUGGUUUUUCUGGACUGGGUUCGGAUUGUUGAGCCCUCUGGGUUUCAUAUCCCUAGUGAAGUCACUACGGCUGAUUUCACCAAGGAGCUGCGAAGUCAGCCAUGGUGAUUACUGUCCUGCAUAGGAGGUCCAUGGUGGCCACUACUGCCCUGCCGCUUAAUACCCCCCAACGGAAAGCAGUGUAAAACUAAAUACAAAAAAGGAUUUGGUCUCUAAACGAAUUCGUACUUCUAUGAAUAAAAUAUCACAGACUAUAUACAGGGCCGGCUUAACUCAGUAAGCAGACAGUGCAUCUCAUCGGGGCGCCUUCGGAAGAACGGCGCCAAAAUUAUCAUUUUCUCGACAUUUUUAUGAACACUGAAUAGAUGCUACAAAAAAGCUGCAUCGUGGCGCAGGACUCCUAGAGCCGAUAUUAAGUAUAUAAUUUUUUUCCAUACAUUAUGUCGCUUUAUAUCUACCUAAGUAAUUAGCGAAGUUAUUCC